rnacentral:lncRNA from 1 species
UAGAUAGGAUGAGUUAGGAUCAUAUCUUUAGAGAUCAAAGGACUGAGUUGUGUUCAAAUUAAAAAAUAAAGUAAAGAAUUAAGAUUUUAAGAUUUUAAAAAGAUAAAAGAAAUAAGUUUGAUAGAAAUAAAGUUAAGAAAAAUCAAGUGAAAGAAAGUGCCUCAAAUUUUCAAAUCCAUCCUUUAAUCACAUAUUUGUAUUUUAAUUCAAGCAAGCU